ensembl:lncRNA
AAAAGCUAGAAUGAUUGUCAUGAAGAAGCGUGUGUGUGGAGGAGCAUAGUGGACAAGGUAUCAGUCUGAAACUAGAGUAGGGUGGACAAGGUAUCAGUCUGAAACUAGAGCAUAGUGGACAAGGUAUCAGUCUGAAACUAGAGCAUAGUGGACAAGGUAUCAGUCUGAAACUAGAGCAUGGUGGACAAGGUAUCAGUCUGAAACUAGAGCAUAGUGGACAAGGUAUCAGUCUGAAACUAGAGUAGGGUGGACAAGGUAUCAGUCUGAAACUAGAGUAGGGUGGACAAGGUAUCAGUCUGAAACUAGAGUAGGGUGGACAAGGUAUCAGUCUGAAAUUAGAGUAGGGUGGACAAGGUAUCAGUCUGAAACUAGAGUAGGGUGGACAAGGUAUCAGUCUGAAACUAGAGUAGGGUGGACAAGGUAUCAGUCUGAAACUAGAGUAGGGUGGACAAGGUAUCCGUCUGAAACUAGAGUAGGGUGGACAAGGUAUCAGUCUGAAAUUAGAGUAGGGUGGUGGCAUAUCCAGGUUUACCUCGUCAGUGUCUCACACACACAGGGUGAGGUAAAGUAGUGGAGGUGUCCAGGUGUAAACGUUUACCUCAUCAGUGUCUC